rnacentral:misc_RNA from 1 species
GAAAUGCGAUAAGUAAUGUGAAUUGCAGAAUUCAGUGAAUCAUCGAAUCUUUGAACGCACAUUGCGCCCGCCAGUAUUCUGGCGGGCAUGCCUGUUCGAGCGUCAUUUCAACCAUCAAGCCCCCGGCUUGUGUUGGGGACCUGCGGCUGCCCGCAGGCCCUGAAAAACAGUGGCGAGCUCGCUGUCACACCGAGCGUAGUAGCAUACAUUCUCGCUCAGGGCGUGCUGCGGGUUCCGGCCGUUAAACGACCUUCAUAACCCAAGGUUGACCUCGGAUCAGGUAGGAAGACCCGCUGAACUUAAGC